UACGGAGGAUGCAAGCGUUAUCCGGAAUGAUUGGGCGUAAAGGCGUCCGAGCAGGUGGCUAUGUAAGUCUGUGCUGUUAAAGCAGUGAGGCGUCAACCUCAUAAGAGCAGUGGAAACUACAUGGGCGUAGAGUGCGGUUCGGGGCAGAGGGGAAGUUACCUGGUGUAGCGGUGAAAUGCGUCAGAGAUCAGGAAGAACACCCGGUGGCGAAAGCGCUCUGCGUAGGCCGACAACUGGACAACUCAUGGACGAAACGCUAGGGGAGCGAAUGGGAUUAGAUACCCCCUG
rnacentral:rRNA from 1 species